GGGUCAGUAGGUUGGUCGUGCCACCGGUACGUACUGGUCUCACUGAUUCCUCCUUCCUGAAGAACCGUAAUGCCAUUAAUUUGGUGUUGCGGGGAAACAGGACUGUUACUUUGAAAAAAUUAGAGUGUUUAAAGCAAGCUAACGCUUGAAUACACUAGCAUGGAAUAAUGAAAUAGGACGAUCGAUCCUAUUUUGUUGGUUCCUAGGAUUGACGUA
rnacentral:rRNA from 1 species